GGGCAGGUGGCCGAGCGGUUUAAGGCGCACGCCUGGAACGCGUGUAAGGUUCAUAGCCUUCGAGGGUUCGAAUCCCUCCCUGUCCG
rnacentral:tRNA from 1 species